AGAGUGGGUAGUCCGCACGAGCGCACCUUACUUUUAGUUGCCAUCAUUAAGUUGGGCACUCUGAAAGAACUGCCAGUGAUAAGCUGGAGGAAGGUGGGGAUGACGUCAAGUCCUCAUGGCCCUUACGUGUUGGGCUACACACGUGCUACAAUGGCAUCUACAACAGGAAGCAAAACGGCAACGUUAAGCAAAUCCCGAAAAGAUGCCUCAGUUCGGAUUGUACUCUGCAACUCGAGUACAUGAAGCUGGAAUUACUAGUAAUCGCGGAUCAGCGCGCCGCGGUGAAUACGUUCCCGGGUCUUGUACACACCGCCCGUCACACCAUGGGAGUUGGUUCUACCUUAAGGCAAAGUUUAAAACCUUUGACCACGGUAUAGUCAGCGACUGGGGUGAAGUCGUAACAAGGUAGCCGUAGGGGAACCUGCGGCUGGAUUACCUCCUUUCU
rnacentral:rRNA from 1 species